UACAGAGACUGCAAGCGUUAUUCGGAUUCACUGGGCGUAAAGGGUGCGCAGGUGGCUUUGUGUGUCAGGUGUGAAAUCCCGGAGCUUAACUCCGGAACUGCGCCUGAAACUGCAGAGCUAGAGCAUUGGAGAGGGAAGUGGAAUUCACGGUGUAGCAGUGAAAUGCGUAGAUAUCGUGAGGAACACCAGAGGCGAAGGCGACUUCCUGGACAAUUGCUGACACUCAGGCACGAAAGCAUGGGGAGCAAAAGGG
rnacentral:rRNA from 1 species